rnacentral:pre_miRNA from 1 species
UUAACUCAUAUUUGUAUGGAAUGGGAUCGUUUGCCUACGUUUGCCGCUAGGGGCGCUGUUCCAACUGCAUACAAAAUUGAGUUA